UCAGGUGGCCGCAGAGAAUAGGCCCAAGGGCUGUUUACCAAAAACAUAGGUUUCUGCUAAGUCGCAAGACGAUGUAUAGGAGCUGACGCCUGCCCGGUGCUGGAAGGUUAAGGGGAUCUGUUAGAGCAAUCGAAGCAGUGAACUUAAGCCCAAGUAAACGGCGGCCGUAACUAUAACGGUCCUAAGGUAGCGAAAUUCCUUGUCGGGUAAGUUCCGACCCGCACGAAAGGCGUAACGAUUUGGGCACUGUCUCAACAACAGACUCGGUGAAAUUGUAAUUCCGGUGAAGAUGCCGG
rnacentral:rRNA from 1 species